rnacentral:rRNA from 1 species
GACGAACGCUGGCGGCGUGCUUAACACAUGCAAGUCGAACGGAAAGGCCCUGCUUUUGUGGGUUGCUCGAUUGGCGAACGGGUGUGUAACACGUGAGUAACCUGCCCUUGACUUUGUGAUAACUUCAGGAAACUGGGGCUAUUACCGGAUAGGAUCUCCUGCUGCACGGUGGGGGUUGGAAAGUUUCGGCGGUUGUGGAUGGACUCGCGGCUUAUCAGCUUGUUGGUGGGGUAGUGGCUUACCAAGGCUUUGACGGGUAGCCGGCCUGAGAGGGUGGACGGCGACAAGGGGCCUGCGAUACGGCCCAGACUGCAACGGGAGGCAGCGGGGGGGAAUAUGACGCAGUGGGCGGGAGCCUGAGGCAGCAGCGCCGCGUGCGGGAUGACGGCCUUCGGGUGGUAAACCGCUUUGGCCUGUGACGAAGAGUGAGUGACGGUAAUGGGUAAGGAAGCACCGGCUAACUACGUG